rnacentral:rRNA from 1 species
UGGGGAAUCUUCCGCAAUGGGCGAAAGCCUGACGGAGCAACGCCGCGUGAGUGAAGAAGGUCUUCGGAUCGUAAAGCUCUGUUGUUGGGGACGAAAGGGAAGGGGAGGAGAUGCCCUUUUUAAGACGGUACCCGACGAGCAAGCCACGGCUAACUACGUGCCAGCAGCCGCGGUAAUACGUAGGUGGCGAGCGUUGUCCGGAAUGAUUGGGCGUAAAGGGAGCGCAGGUGGGACGGUAAGUCCUUCUUAAAAGCGUGGGGCUCAGCCCCAUGAAGGGAGGGAAACUAUCGAUCUUGAGUGCCGGAGAGGAAAGCGGAAUUCCCAGUGUAGCGGUGAAAUGCGUAGAUAUUGGGAAGAACACCAGUGGCGAAGGCGGCUUUCUGGACGGCAACUGACACUGAGGCUCGAAAGCCAGGGGAGCGAACGGGAUUAGAUACCCCGGUAGUCCUGGCCGUAAACGAUGGAUACUAGGUGUAGGAGGUAUCGACCCCUUCUGUGCCGGAGUUAACGCAAUAAGUACCCCGCCUGGGGAGUACGGUCGCAAGAUUG